GACGAUUCAGAGCAGUUCAUAUUGAUGGUCGAGUUGUCGGCUGGACGGGUGAGUACACGUGGGCAACUGCCUGUAGACGGGGAUAACACCGAGAAAUCGGUGCUAAUACCGGGAUAAUACGAAAGGCGCAUGGUCUUUCGUUGAAAGGCGGCGCAACGUGUCGCUACAGGAUGGGCCGCGGCGCAUUAGCUAGUUGGUGAGGUAACGGCUCACCAGGCGACGAUGCGUACGCGACUGAGAGGGUGAUCGCCACACUGGGACUGAGACACGGCCCAGACUCCUACGGGAGGCAGCAGUAGGGAAUCUUCCGCAAUGACGAAAGUCUGACGGAGCAACGCCGCGUGACGAAAGAAGGCCUUCGGGUCGUAAGCUCUGUUGUUAGGGAGAACAGUACGCAGUCAUGGCGUACCUGACGUACCAACAGGAGCACGCUAACUAGUGCAGCAGCCCGUAAUACGUAGUGCAAGCUUUGUCCGAAUUAUUGGCGUACGACGCGCAGCGGUCCUUAGUCUGAUGUGAAGCCACGUCACCUGGAGUCAUUGAACUCGGGCAUCAGUCCGCAAAGAGCGCAUUCACCGUUAGCGGAUAGCUCGAGUAGGGGACACUCUGCGAGGGUUCCUGUCGUUACGUCUCAGGCCUAUGGGGCAAAGUAGUAAUCUGUGCCCCCCUAAGAGAGUAGGGAGCCCCGGA
rnacentral:rRNA from 1 species